UUAGAGCAACAAGCUUUGCCUGUUGAGCAC
rnacentral:piRNA from 1 species